rnacentral:rRNA from 1 species
GGUUAAGCGACUAAGCGUACACGGUGGAUGCCCUGGCAGUCAGAGGCGAUGAAGGACGUGCUAAUCUGCGAUAAGCGUCGGUAAGGUGAUAUGAACCGUUAUAACCGGCGAUUUCCGAAUGGGGAAACCCAGUGUGAUUCGUCACACUAUCAUUAACUGAAUCCAUAGGUUAAUGAGGCGAACCGGGGGAACUGAAACAUCUAAGUACCCCGAGGAAAAGAAAUCAACCGAGAUUCCCCCAGUAGCGGCGAGCGAACGGGGAGCAGCCCAGAGCCUGAAUCAGUGUGUGUGUUAGUGGAAGCGUCUGGAAAGGCGUGCGAUACAGGGUGACAGCCCCGUACACAAAAAUGCACAUACUGUGAGCUCGAUGAGUAGGGCGGGACACGUGGUAUCCUGUCUGAAUAUGGGGGGACCAUCCUCCAAGGCUAAAUACUCCUGACUGACCGAUAGUGAACCAGUACCGUGAGGGAAAGGCGAAAAGAACCCCGGCGAGGGGAGUGAAAAAGAACCUGAAACCGUGUACGUACAAGCAGUGGGAGCACGCUUAGGCGUGUGACUGCGUACCUUUUGUAUAAUGGGUCAGCGACUUAUAUUCUGUAGCAAGGUUAACCGAAUAGGGGAGCCGAAGGGAAACCGAGUCUUAACUGGGCGUUAAGUUGCAGGGUAUAGACCCGAAACCCGGUGAUCUAGCCAUGGGCAGGUUGAAGGUUGGGUAACACUAACUGGAGGACCGAACCGACUAAUGUUGAAAAAUUAGCGGAUGACUUGUGGCUGGGGGUGAAAGGCCAAUCAAACCGGGAGAUAGCUGGUUCUCCCCGAAAGCUAUUUAGGUAGCGCCUCGUGAAUUCAUCUCCGGGGGUAGAGCACUGUUUCGGCAAGGGGGUCAUCCCGACUUACCAACCCGAUGCAAACUGCGAAUACCGGAGAAUGUUAUCACGGGAGACACACGGCGGGUGCUAACGUCCGUCGUGAAGAGGGAAACAACCCAGACCGCCAGCUAAGGUCCCAAAGUCAUGGUUAAGUGGGAAACGAUGUGGGAAGGCCCAGACAGCCAGGAUGUUGGCUUAGAAGCAGCCAUCAUUUAAAGAAAGCGUAAUAGCUCACUGGUCGAGUCGGCCUGCGCGGAAGAUGUAACGGGGCUAAACCAUGCACCGAAGCUGCGGCAGCGACGCUUAUGCGUUGUUGGGUAGGGGAGCGUUCUGUAAGCCUGUGAAGGUGUGCUGUGAGGUAUGCUGGAGGUAUCAGAAGUGCGAAUGCUGACAUAAGUAACGAUAAAGCGGGUGAAAAGCCCGCUCGCCGGAAGACCAAGGGUUCCUGUCCAACGUUAAUCGGGGCAGGGUGAGUCGACCCCUAAGGCGAGGCCGAAAGGCGUAGUCGAUGGGAAACAGGUUAAUAUUCCUGUACUUGGUGUUACUGCGAAGGGGGGACGGAGAAGGCUAUGUUGGCCGGGCGACGGUUGUCCCGGUUUAAGCGUGUAGGCUGGUUUUCCAGGCAAAUCCGGAAAAUCAAGGCCGAGGCGUGAUGACGAGGCACUACGGUGCUGAAGCAACAAAUGCCCUGCUUCCAGGAAAAGCCUCUAAGCAUCAGGUAACAUCAAAUCGUACCCCAAACCGACACAGGUGGUCAGGUAGAGAAUACCAAGGCGCUUGAGAGAACUCGGGUGAAGGAACUAGGCAAAAUGGUGCCGUAACUUCGGGAGAAGGCACGCUGAUACGUAGGUGAAGCGACUUGCUCGUGGAGCUGAAAUCAGUCGAAGAUACCAGCUGGCUGCAACUGUUUAUUAAAAACACAGCACUGUGCAAACACGAAAGUGGACGUAUACGGUGUGACGCCUGCCCGGUGCCGGAAGGUUAAUUGAUGGGGUUAGCGCAAGCGAAGCUCUUGAUCGAAGCCCCGGUAAACGGCGGCCGUAACUAUAACGGUCCUAAGGUAGCGAAAUUCCUUGUCGGGUAAGUUCCGACCUGCACGAAUGGCGUAAUGAUGGCCAGGCUGUCUCCACCCGAGACUCAGUGAAAUUGAACUCGCUGUGAAGAUGCAGUGUACCCGCGGCAAGACGGAAAGACCCCGUGAACCUUUACUAUAGCUUGACACUGAACAUUGAGCCUUGAUGUGUAGGAUAGGUGGGAGGCUUUGAAGUGUGGACGCCAGUCUGCAUGGAGCCGACCUUGAAAUACCACCCUUUAAUGUUUGAUGUUCUAACGUGGACCCGUGAUCCGGGUUGCGGACAGUGUCUGGUGGGUAGUUUGACUGGGGCGGUCUCCUCCUAAAGAGUAACGGAGGAGCACGAAGGUUGGCUAAUCCUGGUCGGACAUCAGGAGGUUAGUGCAAUGGCAUAAGCCAGCUUGACUGCGAGCGUGACGGCGCGAGCAGGUGCGAAAGCAGGUCAUAGUGAUCCGGUGGUUCUGAAUGGAAGGGCCAUCGCUCAACGGAUAAAAGGUACUCCGGGGAUAACAGGCUGAUACCGCCCAAGAGUUCAUAUCGACGGCGGUGUUUGGCACCUCGAUGUCGGCUCAUCACAUCCUGGGGCUGAAGUAGGUCCCAAGGGUAUGGCUGUUCGCCAUUUAAAGUGGUACGCGAGCUGGGUUUAGAACGUCGUGAGACAGUUCGGUCCCUAUCUGCCGUGGGCGCUGGAGAACUGAGGGGGGCUGCUCCUAGUACGAGAGGACCGGAGUGGACGCAUCACUGGUGUUCGGGUUGUCAUGCCAAUGGCACUGCCCGGUAGCUAAAUGCGGAAGAGAUAAGUGCUGAAAGCAUCUAAGCACGAAACUUGCCCCGAGAUGAGUUCUCCCUGACCCUUUAAGGGUCCUGAAGGAACGUUGAAGACGACGACGUUGAUAGGCCGGGUGUGUAAGCGCAGCGAUGCGUUGAGCUAACCGGUACUAAUGA